GGAGUGCACACCUCUUGGAACCAUGGCCUACCAAGCAUUCAGCACUUUCCUCACAGGACAGAGAUGCCGAGGGCCCCCUUGUUGUCUGUUGAGGCAUCAGGGAAGAUUGUGGAUGAAGGGGGGCCACAGUUCAGUAUGCCACUGCCUGAGCCGGAGCAUCCCAGACCUGCUCCACAGACAGCAGAGCAGAACUCCAGGCCUCAGGAAAGGACUGGUAGACGGGGCUCCUCAGAGGCAAGGCCUUACUGCUGCAACUACGAGAACUGCGGAAAAGCUUAUACCAAACGCUCCUACCUUGUUAGCCACCAGUGCAAGCACAUGGGUGAGAGGCCCUAUUUGUGCAACGGGAAAGGUGUUUAUGGUCUUUCUUCCGUUCUAAUGAGCGUAGAUGACAUACGUGGGUACACACCAGACAUUGACCAUAUAAAUGUGAUCAGUGCAGCCAAGAGUUCAUGAGGUCUGACCAUCUCAAGCAACACCAGAAGACUCAUUGGCCAGGACCCUCAGACCCACGGGCCAACAAUGGACAGCAGGACGGUCCUGUUCCUGGUCCUUAGGUGAAUGAAGGAAGAGGAUUCUAGGCAGAGAACACUGGACCUGGCAACUGCUCAGAGGAGAGGCAGUCUUCAAGUUCUAUAUUCAUUCAG
rnacentral:lncRNA from 1 species